GCCUAGUUAGCUUGGCGGGUAGAGCGUCUGCCUUGUGAGCGCUAGGCCACGGGUUCGAUUCCCGCCCGGGGCG
rfam:Asian citrus Psyllid, Diaphorina citri - Florida Strain, whole genome shotgun sequence.